UUAAUUCUGGGAUAUGCGUUAAGCUUUUAUUUUGAACCUACAAAAUUAUUAUGGGAAUCUAUAUUAAGAAGAAAGAUAUCAAGCCUAACUAAUAGUAUAGGAAGAUAGACAGCUUUUUUGAAGAUACCCACCUAUCGAUGGAUAGGCGUCAAAAUAGAGCUGACGGUAUUUUGGGUUAUAU
rnacentral:other from 1 species